GCUGUGUGGUUUUCUACAGAGUCCAACCUGUCGACUGGAGACUCUGAGGUUGGAGAGCUGCAGACUGUCAGAGAUCAGCUGUUCUUCUCUGGCUUCAGCUCUGAGGUCAAACCCCUCUCAUCUGAGAGAACUGAAUCUGAGAGGAAACGACCUGCAGGUCUCAGGAGUGAAGGAGCUGCUUGAGCUAAAGCAGCGUUCAGGCUAUCGACUGCAGAUUGUGAGUUGGGAGGGAUCUUUGUGGAGGUGAGUGUGAAGAGGACAGUGUGUGUGGACGGAGGCUGA